AUUGAACGCUGGCGGCAGGCCUAACACAUGCAAGUCGAACGAGUGGCGGACGGGUGCGUAAUGUCUGGGAAACUGCCUGAUGGAGGGGGAUAACUUAUGGAAACGGUAGCUAAUACCGCAUACCAUCGGAUGUGCCCAUAUGGGCUUAGCUAGUAGGUGGGGUAACGGCUCACCUAGGCGACGAUCCAUAGCUGGACUGAGAGGAUGACCAGCCACACUGUGACUACGACAUGGUCCAGCAUCCUACGUGAGGCAGCAGUGGGGAACAUUGGACAAGGGGCGCAAGCCGGAUGCACCCAUGCCGCGUGUAUGAAGAAGGCCUUCGGGUUGUAAAGUACUUUCAGCGGGGAGGCGUUACCCGCAGAAGAAGCACCGGCUAACUCCGUGCCAGCCGCCGCGGUAAUUC
rnacentral:rRNA from 1 species